rnacentral:rRNA from 1 species
GGGGCAGCAUGGUCUUAGCUUGCUAAGGCCGAUGGCGACCGGCGCACGGGUGAGUAACACGUAUCCAACCUGCCGUCUACUCUUGGACAGCCUUCUGAAAGGAAGAUUAAUACAAGAUGGCAUCAUGAGUCCACAUGUUCACAUGAUUAAAGGUAUUCCGGUAGACGAUGGGGAUGCGUUCCAUUAGAUAGUAGGCGGGGUAACGGCCCACCUAGUCUUCGAUGGAUAGGGGUUCUGAGAGGAAGGUCCCCCACAUUGGAACUGAGACACGGUCCAAACUCCUACGGGAGGCAGCAGUGAGGAAUAUUGGUCAAUGGGCGAGAACCUGAACCAGCCAAGUAGCGUGAAGGAUGACUGCCCUAUGGGUUGUAAACUUCUUUUAUAAAGGAAUAAAGUCGGGUAUGUAUACCCGUUUGCAUGUACUUUAUGAAUAAGGAUCGGCUAACUCCGUGCCAGCAGCCGCGGUAAUACGGAGGAUCCGAGCGUUAUCCGGAUUUAUUGGGUUUAAAGGGAGCGUAGAUGGAUGUUUAAGUCAGUUGUGAAAGUUUGCGGCUCAACCGUAAAAUUGCAGUUGAUACUGGAUAUCUUGAGUGCAGUUGAGGCAGGCGGAAUUCGUGGUGUAGCGGUGAAAUGCUUAGAUAUCACGAAGAACUCCGAUUGCGAAGGCAGCCU